CGUAGGGUGCAAGCGUUGUCCGGAAUUAUUGGGCGUAAAGAGCUCGUAGGCGGUCUGUCACGUCGGCUGUGAAAACCCGAGGCUCAACCUCGGGCCUGCAGUCGAUACGGGCAAACUAGAGUACUGCAGGGGAGACUGGAAUUCCUGGUGUAGCGGUGAAAUGCGCAGAUAUCAGGAGGAACACCGGUGGCGAAGGCGGGUCUCUGGGCAGUAACUGACGCUGAGGAGCGAAAGCGUGGGGGAGCGAACAGGAUU
rnacentral:rRNA from 1 species